GACGUAGGGCGCGAGCGUUGUCCGGAUUUAUUGGGCGUACAGAGCGUGUAGGCGGCCAGGUAGGUCUGCUGUGAAAACUCGAGGCUCAACCUCGAGACGUCGGCGGAAACCAUCUGGCUAGAGUCCGGAAGAGGAGAGUGGAAUUCCUGGUGUAGCGGUGAAAUGCGCAGAUAUCAGGAAGAACACCCGUGGCGAAGGCGGCUCUCUGGGACGGUACUGACGCUGAGACGCGAAAGCGUGGGGAGCGAACAGG
rnacentral:rRNA from 1 species